UCCAAAUCAAAUCUGUCGCUGUCUGUGCAGGUUGUCUUUUUGUUGUGGCUUUGCACAAGAAAAGUUGGAAUCAUCGUUUGUAACGUAAUGAUUAAUCAAUGUAUGCACUACAAAAUUGCCAACGUAAUAUUAUUAAAAUCAUAAUUUUGAAAGUUUAAUGAAUUAAUUAAAGUCUGCAAGUCCAAAGUUGCUUAGACCAUGGAAAGAAUCGGAUGCAUGUGGAUUUGGAUGUGGUCGGCGGCACGUACGAUAGUGGCGGGGUCACCGACUCUUCUACUUUAACCCAUGUAACACUCCAAAAGCUAACCUCAUCAAGAAUCAGAUUAAUCGAAUCGGAUCAUUACGUUAAGUCAGGGUUAGUUAAUUUUGGAAGAUUUUAAAUGAAUGAGCAUUUUUAGUGAAGAUAUUUUUCCUUCCAAAAACACCAGUUAUGUGUUUCUUGCAGGAAACACUUCAAGUAAUAUUUUAUGAUUAACUUGCAUUUUUGUUAAGGAUUAAUUUUGAAAACAUUUUCUUUAAAAGCGCAUUUAGUCAUAUAAAAACAAUUUUGAAACAAGCCGUUCAUUAAUUACAUGUAUAUUUAUAUGGAACCAGAAGUAGAAUUAUUUAUGUAGAUCACUAGUGAAUAGUUCCCUCUUUGGUACAACGAAAUAGUUACUCUUUUGUUGACUGAAAGGUCAUGGGGUUCGAAUCAUGAUUACAACCUCUUUGCAAAAUAAAGGUAAAACUAUGUACAAUAGACGUUCAUCUUCUCCUCGACCCUUUCAAGGGUGAGAGCCUUGUUGGUUGGAAUUACCUACUUGUGAAUAUUGAUCAUGACAUUGGGUCUUUACUUUUUCCUCACUUUACCCUCUUUCACAGCUUCUUUUAUAUUUUCCCCACCUUCCAUUCUUUUGACAACAAUCUUUACUUGUCCUGACCACCAAGGCAUCUCGCAUUCCUUCGCUUUACUCUCUCUCCCGCCUCUCUUUCGUCACCUUUUCUCUCUCUAUUCACACUUAAAACCUAUACAUAUUUACCCACAAAUUUAUCAUCACCGAUCCACCAACACCUAAAGAACAAUUAUUUCUUCUCAGGCUUCAAUGGCUGUGUAUGUGUCGAUGCCUUUUCUAGUUGCUGCCGCAACCGGGAUAUAUUUCCUCGACAAAAACCAUUACCAACCAAAGGAACUCGGAGCUGGGAUUCGAGCAACCAUCCAAGAUGUUGUAGCAAAAGCGAAGGCCAAGGUGAACACCACUCAGACGCCAAAAUUGGCACCCCAAUUUGACGGAUUAGACUCCUUUGAAACCUUGGUCGGUCGUUAGCACCCCUAAACCCUGUGCGAAAGCAUGAGUAUCUGCUCCUUCAGGCUCUUAAUUUACUUAAUGAAUCGUAGCAACACAUGACUGAAUCUUUCAGCUCUUGCUAUAUCUUCCCUCCGUUCAUAUUUCAUCCAAUAUAAAAUAUGAUCGGUCUACUUAUCAUCCAA